rnacentral:lncRNA from 10 species
UACUGUGAUUUCAUCUUUCUCUUAUAUUUAUCAAUGCUAUUUGUACAAUUAUAGAAUAUUGUUUCAAGAAGUUUUGGUAAACAGAUGUUUGGUAAACAGAUAUGUGGUAAACAGAAGCAGCUAACUAUACAAAUAAUGACACAUUUGUAAGGAGAAAAGUCUUACUUUUCAGGAAAGAUAUUGGGGGAUGGUAAGUGAAAUAUAAUGAUUCCUUCAGAAAAAGUGUAAUAGUUCUUAGAAAAAGAAUAAAAUCACAAUGAAGAAAAACACACAAGUAACAUAAACGACCAUAAAAAUAUGUGUGCUUUCUAAAAAGCAAAAAUAAAAUGAAAGUAUUUUAGACAAAUGACCAAAAUAAAUACAUUGAAAGUGGUAUUUUCUACAGAUGUAUGGGUACUUGUUAUAAAAUUAUUAAAAUUGUCUUAAUACAAUAUGUGCUUACAGACCCAGAGAUAGAGAGGGGCAUGGGUGUCAAGAACUUCGAUUAAAAACAAAUAGAUUAUUAUAUUAAUAGUCAGAAACUGGACGGUGAUUUAGAAGCACAUAAAUUUUAAAAUAUUUCUUACGCUGACCAUUCAUCACUUUCUGUCUAUAUAUUUUCUUUCUGUAAAGCUAUCUUUUAGAGAAGCAUUUAAUUUCAGUAUAAACAGAGUUCUGGUUUCCGCUCUGAAAUAUAAGGAGCUUGGAAGUCAUCGCUCCCACUGUUACAAAAAAAAAAAAAGGUUAAACAAACUGAAAACCAAUGACUUUUCUCAGACCCAUUAGAUAACUUAUGUCACAGAACACAUUACCACCUGAAAUACAGAGAGAGACAAAUACAAUUGAGAUUAGGUUAUCUGGGAGCAAAAGUUGUGGGAGCCACAAACUGGCAGAAAUAACCAGAUGAUGUUUGCAAAUUGCUGGAGGCUGAGUUUUGAUUAGUUUGAGAGUGAGAAACUCCCAGCACCCAGUCUUAGGGGACCCCCACGCUUUUGUUGUGCCUUCAGGAAUUCCAGCAAGUUCUCUAGGUGAAGACCCAAUAAAAAUUUUCAUGUGGUUUCCAAAAUUUUCCCACAAAGGCAAAUUGCCAAUCAAUAUGAAAUUCUGAAGAGAGAUGAAAAAUAAUUAAAGUGUUUAUUGCAUUUGGUAAUUAACCU